rnacentral:rRNA from 1 species
GUGCCAGCAGCCGCGGUAAUACCGGCAGCACAAGUGAUGGCCGAUCUUAUUGGGCCUAAAGCGUCCGUAGCCGGCCGGACAAGUCCGUUGGGAAAUCCACGCGCUCAACGCGUGGGCGUCCAGCGGAAACUGUCCGGCUUGGGGCCGGAGGACUCGAGGGGUACGUUCAGGGUAGGAGUGAAAUCCUGUAAUCCUGAACGGACCACCGGUGGCGAAAGCGCCUCGAGAGGACGGACCCGACGGUGAGGGACGAAAGCUAGGGUCUCGAACCGGAUUAGAAACCCGAGUAGUCC